UCCUGAGCGGACCCAUGUUGGAUCCGCGGACGCGCACGCGCCUUUACUGUAACGGUUGAACCACAGUACACCAAGAGCCGAGACGAGAGUCGUAUCAGUGGAGACUUUCUUUGCUGGGACACGGUUGCGCUGAACCCUCUUGAGUAAGUUUAUUGAUAUCAUCAUGUAUAUUAAUCCCAGAUAGCACACAUACGUGUGGCCGACUUCGGCCUCAUAUCUGUAACAUCUAAUAAGGAUCGGCCAGGCAUAGGCGCGUGUCUUCAGUCAGUGCUCUAUUUCCAGCUCGUCGGCUUUGGGUCGGAUCACGACUGCAGGCCGAUGCCGCGCUUAUCUGUUUGCGCGUGACCAUUCAUCUCUGCAACCGACGAGAGAAAUGGCGACUCCGGCGACAUCUGUGGUUUUCAGGAGUGAAAAAAUAAUUCUACAACACCGGAGGGGGAAGAGCUGCUGACAGAGGAGAAACUUUAUGAAACUCAGAUUCUUCCAUGCUGAUGGCCUGCACUCCUCUCAAAGAAAAUCUCAGGCUAAAAACCAUAUAACCAAUGAGAUGUGAUCCCCAGCGUUUGGCGCUGAGAUUCUUCAGGACAAGGCCUUGAUGCCAUGAAGAUGGUGCUGUGAGGAAAAACACGGUGACACAGUCAGCCACGGAUGUGGAGGUCACCAAGCACGCAAUCAGGUGGUUCAACCUGGCGGCGGAUCGGGCAGCGAGGAGACGUGUCCCGCCUCCAUCCACACAAAUGGAAAAAUAAGCAAUAAAUAAUAAAUGUUUUUAUUG